GAUGAACGCUGGCGGCGUGCCUAAUACAUGCAAGUCGAGCGAACAGAUGAGGAGCUUGCUCCUCUGACGUUAGCGGCGGACGGGUGAGUAACACGUGGAUAACCUACCUAUAAGACUGGGAUAACUUCGGGAAACCGGAGCUAAUACCGGAUAAUAUAUUGAACCGCAUGGUUCAAUAGUGAAAGACGGUUUUGCUGUCACUUAUAGAUGGAUCCGCGCCGCAUUAGCUAGUUGGUAAGGUAACGGCUUACCAAGGCAACGAUGCGUAGCCGACCUGAGAGGGUGAUCGGCCACCCUGGAACUGAGACACGGUCCAGACUCCUACGGGGGGCAGCAGUAGGGAAUCUUCCGCAAUGGGCGAAAGCCUGACGGAGCAACGCCGCGUGAGUGAUGAAGGUCUUCGGAUCGUAAAACUCUGUUAUUAGGGAAGAACAAAUGUGUAAGUACCUGUGCACAUCUUGACGGUACCUAAUCAGAAAGCCCCGGCUAACUACGUG
rnacentral:rRNA from 1 species